rnacentral:rRNA from 1 species
AGUGAACGCUGGCGGUGGGCCUAACACAUGCAAGUCGAACGGCAGCACAGUAAGAGCUUGCUCUUACGGGUGGCGAGUGGCGGACGGGUGAGGAAUACAUCGGAAUCUACUUUUUCGUGGGGGAUAACGUAGGGAAACUUACGCUAAUACCGCAUACGACCUACGGGUGAAAGCAGGGGAUCUUCGGACCUUGCGCGAUUGAAUGAGCCGAUGUCGGAUUAGCUAGUUGGCGGGGUAAAGGCCCACCAAGGCGACGAUCCGUAGCUGGUCUGAGAGGAUGAUCAGGCACACUGGAACUGAGACACGGUCCAGACUCCUACGGGAGGCAGCAGUGGGGAAUAUUGGACAAUGGGCGCAAGCCUGAUCCAGCCAUACCGCGUGGGUGAAGAAGGCCUUCGUGUUGUAAAGCCCUUUUGUUGGGAAAGAAAAGCAGCAGGUUAAUACCCCGCUGUUCUGACGGUACCCAAAGAAUAAGCACCGGCUAACUUCGUG